rnacentral:rRNA from 1 species
CCUACGGGAGGCAGCAGUGGGGAAUCUUGCGCAAUGGGCGAAAGCCUGACGCAGCAACGCCGCGUGCGGGAAGAAGGCUUUCGGGCUGUAAACCGCUUUCAGCAGGAACGAAAAUGACGGUACCUGCAGAAGAAGGAGCGGCCAACUAUGUGCCAGCAGCCGCGGUGAUACAUAGGCUUCAAGCGUUGUCCGGAUUUAUUGGGCGUAAAGAGUUCGUAGGCGGUCAAGUAAGUCGGGUGUGAAAAUUCUGGGCUCAACCCAGAGACGCCACCCGAUACUGCUUAACUUGAGUUCGAUAGGGGAGUGGGGAAUUCCUAGUGUAGCGGUGAAAUGCGCAGAUAUUAGGAGGAACACCGGUGGCGAAGGCGCCACUCUGGAUCGAUACUGACGCUGAGGAACGAAAGCAUGGGUAGCAAACAGGAUUAGAUACCCUGGUAGUCCAUGCCGUAAACGGUGGGCACUAGGUGUGGGUUUCUAUUAACGAAAUCCGCGCCGUCGCUAACGCAUUAAGUGCCCCGCCUGGGGAGUCGGUCGCAAGCUAAAACUCAAAGGAAUUGACGGCNGAGAGUGCGACGCGACGACGAGGAGAG